GAGUAUGUCUGGGAACUGCCCGAUGGAGGGGGAUAACUACUGGAAACGGUAGCUAAUACCGCAUAACGUCGCAAGACCAAAGAGGGGGACCUUCGGGCCUCUUGCCAUCGGAUGUGCCCAGAUGGGAUUAGCUAGUAGGUGGGGUAAAGGCUCACCUAGGCGACGAUCCCUAGCUGGUCUGAGAGGAUGACCAGCCACACUGGAACUGAGACACGGUCCAGACUCCUACGGGAGGCAGCAGUGGGGAAUAUUGCACAAUGGGCGCAAGCCUGAUGCAGCCAUGCCGCGUGUAUGAAGAAGGCCUUCGGGUUGUAAAGUACUUUCAGCGGGGAGGAAGGGAGUAAAGUUAAUACCUUUGCUCAUUGACGUUACCCGCAGAAGAAGCACCGGCUAACUCCGUGCCAGCAGCCGCGGUAAUACGGAGGGUGCAAGCGUUAAUCGGAAUUACUGGGCGUAAAGCGCACGCAGGCGGUUUGUUAAGUCAGAUGUGAAAUC
rnacentral:rRNA from 1 species